rnacentral:lncRNA from 1 species
CGUCGACCCCCGCCCGCGGCCCCGCCGCCUGCCGCCCGCCCCCACCGGGCCGCGGGCCGCCUCCUCCUCCCCGCAGCUGCUCUGGCUGCGGCUCGGGCGGGUUCUGCUCGGCUUGGGGGUCACCGUGUGGCCAGCAGGACUGGGGGAGUGAUUUUCCCACCCCGUACUCGGCAUUGGUUGGCCCAUCAGAGCCCACCCAGCGAGAAUCUGCUGUGGAAGGGCCAUACUUGGUCUGUAAAAUGAGAGCUGAGUGUCAGGAGGGGACUGCUGAGGACUCUUCUGUCUCAGAAGCACACUGCAGGCACAGUGGUUCACAAGGAAAAUCUACCGUUGAGGAAGGAAGAGGAGCCUCAUUUCCUGCAUCAGGGCUGGCCCACUGUUUGGAGUUUGAAAUGCAGCAAUUGGAAAAGCAAAUAGAAGUUUAGCACUGCCAUCGCCAGCAGAUCCCAACCGGUUGUAUGAGCUGCCAUGAUGUUUAGUGAGAAAGUGUGCUCUUUAUUUUCUAUUAAUGUCAGGAUCAAAAUGCCCUGGGGGAAAGUAACCUGCACUCUAAUACAACUGAACAGUCGCUGGCAAUUGUCUUAAGCACAUCUCAACUACAGAGUCAGAUCCUCUGCUCACACAAACUGGUGCCACCAUCUUGUCUGUCAUUUAGGCAUUAGAAGGAGCUGUAUUUGAUUUGCAAAAUCUUUAUUACAGAUGGUGAUGUAAUGCAGCUCUGUGCGGAGACAGUCAAACUACCUCCAGCAGCAGAAGUGGUUUAGCCAUGUGAGCCUUCACUUGGGGCUAAUCAAACCUGACAAGAAAGAGAGUGUUAUCGUGGGCAGAACACCCUGCUAAAAUAGAUAUAGUCUGCAUUAGUGCUCAGAUAAAAACAACGGCCUGCACUACACAGACAUGACUGGACAUGCCACACAUACAACUCUGACCCUACCGUGAGUUUGUGAGAGGUGACUGUCAGGAAAGAAAAACCACAAAGGCUUUUAUUUAUACUUACAGAACUAUUGGUGGAUCGAUUUAUCUACUGAUAAAUCACGAGAGAAUAAAUUCAUGAGAAAACAGCACCUUACUGGACAGUCAGAAGUGAACUCUGAGCUGUUCAGUGUUAUACA